rnacentral:rRNA from 1 species
UAAGGAAUAUUGGUCAAUGGACGCAAGUCUGAACCAGCCAUGCCGCGUGGAGGAUGAAGGUCCUCUGGAUUGUAAACUUCUUUUAUCUGGGACGAAACACUUCUUUUCUAAGAGGCCUGACGGUACCAGAUGAAUAAGCACCGGCUAACUCCGUGCCAGCAGCCGCGGUAAUACGGAGGGUGCAAGCGUUAUCCGGAUUUACUGGGCGUAAAGGGCGCGUAGGCGGCGCGGUAAGUCACUUGUGAAAUCUCUGAGCUUAACUCAGAACGGCCAAGUGAUACUGCUGUGCUAGAGUGCGGAAGAGGCAACCGGAAUUCUUGGUGUAGCGGUGAAAUGCGUAGAUAUCAAGAGGAACACCUGAGGCGAAGGCGGGUUGCUGGGCCGACACUGACGCUGAUGCGCGAAAGCCAGGGGAGCAAACG